ACGGAGGAUCCUAGCGUUAUCCGGAUUUACUGGGUUUAAAGGGUGCGUAGGCGGGCGUUUAAGUCCGCGGUGAAAGCCUGCGGCUCAACCGUAGAAUUGCCAUGGAUACUGGAGGUCUUGGAUACGGUUGGAGCGGGCGGAAUGUGUGAUGUAGCGGUGAAAUGCUUAGAUAUCACACAGAACGCCGAUAGCGAAGGCAGCUCACUAAAUUGUAAUCGACGCUGAGGCACGAAAGCGUGGGGAUCAAACAG
rnacentral:rRNA from 1 species